AAUGGGCUAUUCCAAUUAUUAUCCACACACCCCCCCUGUUGAGGAACCUUGGAAUUUCCAGGGGAGGGGGUGUAUUAACCUUGGAAUUUCCAGGGGAGGGGGUGUAUUAACCUUGGAAUUUCCAGGGGAGAGGUGCAUUAACUUUAAAUUUCCAGGGGAGGGAAUACAUUAACCCUGGAAUUUCCAGGGGAGGGGGUGCAUUAACCCUGGAAUUUCCAGGGAAGGGGGCAUUCAGGCUCUGGAUUUCCAAGGGGAGGAGUAAUUCUCACAUGGAAUUUCCAAAGGGAGGGGUAAAUUUGAUGGGAUGGAAAUUCCAUGGGAGGACAUAUGUUAGAGGCAAAUUUCCGGGAGUAAAUGUCCCAUGAUGGAAAUUCCAUAGGGAGGGGUAAUUUACACAUGGAAAUUCCAUGGACAGGGCCAAAUUUUAAAUGGAAAUUCCAUGGGGAAGGCCUAAUUUAGAAUGGAAAUUCCAUGGGGAAGGGUAAUUUUUACAAGGAAUUUCCAUGGGAAGGGGUAAAUUUUACAUGAAAAUUUGCGGAAAUUCCAGGGGAGUACCGACAUGAGAAAGGGGUUCCUCAACAGGGGGGGUGCGGAUAAUAAUUGGAAUAGCCCAACAUAAAAAGGCAGUUGACUUUGACGUUGAAUUCAUGUUAACUUGUUUUGUUUACGCGCAGGACACGCGUGUCCCAAGAGAAAUAAAUGUGUUAUAACGAUAGUGAUUUGCUUUUCUGGAAAAAAAUACAAAAUAAAG